rnacentral:rRNA from 1 species
GAUGAACGCUGGCGGCGUGCCUAAUACAUGCAAGUCGAGCGAACAGACGAGGAGCUUGCUCCUCUGACGUUAGCGGCGGACGGGUGAGUAACACGUGGAUAACCUACCUCUAAGACUUGGAUAACUUCGGGAAACCGGAGCUACUCCCGAAAAAUAUAUUCAACCGCAUGUUUCAAUCAUGAAAGAAGGUUUUGCUGUUACUUAUACAUGAAUCCAAGCCGCAUUAGAUAGUAGGUAAGGUAACGGCUUACCAAGGCAACGAUGCGUAGCCGACCUGAGAGGGUGGUAGGCCACACUGGAACUGUGACACGGUACAGACUCCAACGGGAGGCAGCAGUAGGGAAUCUUCCGCAAUGGGCGAAAGCCUGACGGAGCAACGCCGCGUGAGUGAUGAAGGUCUUCGGAUCGGAAUACUCUGUUAUUAGGGAAGAACAAUUGUGUAAGUAACUAUGAACGUCUUGACGGUACCUAAUCAGAAAGCCACGGCUAACUACGUG